UGUCUCGGCCGGGGCUCGAUCCCGAACUUCGUGCUUUUUGGUAUGAAUGAUGCUCAUUACGCCAUCGAGAC